GAUCAUGGCUCAGGAUGAACGCUAGCUACAGGCUUAGCACAUGCAAGUCGAAGGGCAGCAUUUUAGUUUGCUUGCAAACUAAAGAUGGCGACCGGCGCACGGGUGAGUAACACGUAUCCAACCUGCCGAUAACUCGGGGAUAGCCUUUCGAAAGAAAGAUUAAUAUCCGAUAGUAUAUUAAAACCGCAUGGUUUUACUAUUAAAGAAUUUCGGUUAUCGAUGGGGAUGCGUUCCAUUAGUUUGUUGGCGGGGUAACGG
rnacentral:rRNA from 1 species